CCGGAGGAAGAGAAAGAAAAUUCGAUUCCCUUAGUAGCGGCGAGCGAAACGGGAAGAGCCCAAACCAACAAGCUUGCUUGUUGGGGUUGUAGGACACUCUAUACGGAGUUACAAAGGACGACAUUAGACGAAUCAUCUGGAAAGAUGAAUCAAAGAAGGUAAUAAUCCUGUAGUCGAAAAUGUUGUCUCUCUUGAGUGGAUCCUGAGUACGACGGAGCACGUGAAAUUCCGUCGGAAUCUGGGAGGACCAUCUCCUAAGGCUAAAUACUCUCUAGUGACCGAUAGUGAACCAGUACCGUGAGGGAAAGGUGAAAAGCACCCCGGAAGGGGAGUGAAAUAGAACCUGAAACCGUGUGCUUACAAGUAGUCAGAGCCCGUUAAUGGGUGAUGGCGUGCCUUUUGUAGAAUGAACCGGCGAGUUACGAUUUGAUGCAAGGUUAAGCAGUAAAUGUGGAGCCGUAGCGAAAGCGAGUCUGAAUAGGGCGUUUAGUAUUUGGUCGUAGACCCGAAACCAGGUGAUCUACCCUUGGUCAGGUUGAAGUUCAGGUAACACUGAAUGGAGGACCGAACCGACUUACGUUGAAAAGUGAGCGGAUGAACUGAGGGUAGCGGAGAAAUUCCAAUCGAACCUGGAGAUAGCUGGUUCUCUCCGAAAUAGCUUUAGGGCUAGCCUCAAGUGAUGAUUAUUGGAGGUAGAGCACUGUUUGGACGAGGGGCCCCUCUCGGGUUACCGAAUUCAGACAAACUCCGAAUGCCAAUUAAUUUAACUUGGGAGUCAGAACAUGGGUGAUAAGGUCCGUGUUCGAAAGGGAAACAGCCCAGACCACCAGCUAAGGUCCCAAAAUAUAUGUUAAGUGGAAAAGGAUGUGGCGUUGCCCAGACAACUAGGAUGUUGGCUUAGAAGCAGCCAUCAUUUAAAGAGUGCGUAAUAGCUCACUAGUCGAGUGACACUGCGCCGAAAAUGUACCGGGGCUAAACAUAUUACCGAAGCUGUGGAUUGUCCUUUGGACAAUGGUAGGAGAGCGUUCUAAGGGCGUUGAAGCAUGAUCGUAAGGACAUGUGGAGCGCUUAGAAGUGAGAAUGCCGGUGUGAGUAGCGAAAGACGGGUGAGAAUCCCGUCCACCGAUUGACUAAGGUUUCCAGAGGAAGGCUCGUCCGCUCUGGGUUAGUCGGGUCCUAAGCUGAGGCCGACAGGCGUAGGCGAUGGAUAACAGGUUGAUAUUCCUGUACCACCUAUA
rnacentral:rRNA from 1 species